AAUAUUAUCCAUGCUUGGGAAUCUUUGCAAGUUCAUUUUUGAAAAGGAUGAGGAAGAUUGGAAAGAGUCAUCAACAGAUGUUGAAGGACUUUCAGCUAAUCCUGUACUUUCUUGUACAUUUUCAGCUAUAGUUUCUGUUGAAUUUUCACUUGAUAGAAGAGGCGUGGGAAUAAAAAACUUAGCAUUUGCAGACACAGCAGGUUUGACAGAUGGAACAGAAGGUGACCGGAAUAAAUUUGCCGAGCUUCCACCUCCUUGGUUGAA
rnacentral:misc_RNA from 1 species